GGUUGCCAACCCGCGAGGGGGAGCCAAUCCCAUAAAGCCAGUCGUAGUCCGGAUCGUAGUCUGCAACUCGACUACGUGAAGUCGGAAUCGCUAGUAAUCGUGGAUCAGAAUGUCACGGUGAAUACGUUCCCGGGUCUU
rnacentral:rRNA from 1 species